rnacentral:lncRNA from 10 species
GAAGUUGCAGCAAGUUAUCCAGAAGAUCUACCUAAGAUAAUUGAUGAGGGUGGCUAUACUAAACAACAGAAUAUCAGUGUAGAUGAAACAGCUUUCUAUUGGAAGAAGAUGCCAUAUAGGAGUUUCAUAACUAGAGUGGAGAAGUCAAUGCAUGGCUUCAAAGCUUCAAAGGACAGGCUGACUCUCUUAUUAGGGGCUAAUGCAGCUGAUGACUUAAAUUU